UUCCUACGGGGGGCAGCAGUGGGGAAUAUUGCACAAUGGGGGAAACCCUGAUGCAGCGACGCCGCGUGAAGGAAGAAGUAUUUCGGUAUGUAAACUUCUAUCAGCAGGGAAGAAAAUGACGGUACCUGACUAAGAAGCCCCGGCUAACUACGUGCCAGCAGCCGCGGUAAUACGUAGGUGACAAGCGUUGUCCGGAUUUACUGGGUGUAAAGGGCGCGUAGGCGGACUGUCAAGUCAGUCGUGAAAUACCGAAGCUUAACUUCGGGGCUGCGAUUGAAACUGACAGCCUUGAGUAUCGGAGAGGA
rnacentral:rRNA from 1 species